GAUGAACGCUGGCGGCGUGCCUAAUACAUGCAAGUCGAGCGAACAGACGAGGAGCUUGCUCCUCUGACGUUAGCGGCGGACGGGUGAGUAACACGUGGAUAACAUCUCUAUAAGACUGGGAUAACUUCGGGAAACAGGAGCUAUUACAGGAUAAUCUAUUGAACCGCAUGGUUCAAUAGUGAAAGACGGUUUUGCUGUCACUUAUAGAUGGACCCGCGCCGCAUUAGCUAGUUGGUAGGGUAACGGCUUACCAAGGCGACGAUCCGUAGCAGACCUGAGAGGGUGAUCGGCCACACUGGAACUGAGACACGGCCCAGACUCCUACGGGAGGCAGCAGUGGGGAAUCUUCCGCAAUGGGCGAAGGCCUAACGGGGCAACGCCGGGUGAGUGAUGAGGGUCUUCGGAUCGUAAAACUCUGUUAUUAGGGAGGAACAAAUGUUUAAGUAACUAUGCACGUCUUGACGGUACCUAAUCAGAAAGCCACGGCUAACUACGUG
rnacentral:rRNA from 1 species